rnacentral:misc_RNA from 1 species
CGUCGAGUUCAGACAUGAACCUUGGUUUUGAUCAAUUGAUGGGAAGAAAGUAACAAAUAUUUCCCUUGGUUUUAAAUACAAGAACUUACAGCUGCAACAGGUAGCUACUGCAAUUAGCCCAAGCCAGUUUGAAUUCAUCAAACAAGAAACACAACAAAAUGAAUAACAUCAAGGAGACAACAAAUAAAUACCAGUUUAUACACCAUAAAGAGAAUGAAAAUCAUAUCAGUAAUCACUACAUUUAGUCACCUUACCAACUCCUUAGGAAUUAAAUAGUGAGCAUGCACAUCCAUAUUAGCCGUGAGAUUGGUUUAAAAUGGUUGACACAUAUACUUUCAACAAUAGAAGAUAGUGGCAAGCAAAUUUGGGUACAACAAACUUAUUUCUGCUUGUUAAAUCAACUAGGUAUUCAAAUAUUUGCCUCGUCAUCCUGAGGUUCAGGCUCAAUCAUAUUCAUUUCUGCCUAAGAGGCCAAAUUGCAAUUUGAAUAUCCAUGACAAAAGAUUAUCCAAUUUGAAUAAUAAUAAUAAUACCAUCAGAAAGAGAAGAAAAGGUGACUGAAGACGGGUUAUCUUUUUCCCACUUCUCCUACAAAACAAGGCUUCCUAUCAAGGGUUCCUCUUCAGCCUUUGCAUUCCUAACACAAGCCACUGCCGAAGAAAUUGAGACUGAAACUUUCAAUGUCCAAAACGCCCAUCAAUCUACUCAGUGACAGGGCUACACCACAUAAAAAAUCCAACCAAUUCAACAAACCUUAAAAAUAAUUAGAUGAGAUGUUAACCUCAAUCAUGACCAUGAAUCAUGACAAAGAAAUGAAGACGGGAAUUGUAGGAUAAUAAAAAAAAGGAAAUUAAAGAGAUUAUUAAAAUGAAGAUUAUAAAUUUUAAGAAGAGGAAAGUACCUGAUCUCGUUUAAAGAGAGGAGUGAGAAAGAAGAUUGGAGAGAAAAGGAGUAAGAAAACUAUAAAAUUGAAAAUAAAAGGUUUAUAUCGGAGAGUACUCCUGACCGCAAUAAGCCCAGCCUACCUAACGCACUUACAGAUAUUCACAAAUCCAGCUCCCUCAAUUUACGAACCACUUUUUUAAUUUAAACUAUACAAGUAACUCGUAUGAAAGGGUAGGCAUGAAAAUUCAUAUAAACUAAAUUUAGGAUUGGGCUUUAGGGUGGCACAAAUAACAAGGGGACGGGCAUAAGGACAACGUUUAACCCUUCUUGUGCAUGGUUUUGCAGAUGAAGACUCGAAGGCUCAGGAAAAGGAUUGUUUAACAGCAAAAAUCACAAGGAUUGAUUUGCUUUUAACAUAAGGAUUGAUGAUCACAA